rnacentral:rRNA from 1 species
UACGAAGGGGGCUAGCGUUGUUCGGAAUUACUGGGCGUAAAGCGCGCGGAGGCGGUUCGCCAAGUCGGGCGUGAAAGCCCCGGGCUCAACCCGGGAAUUGCGUUCGAUACUUGCGGACUUGAAGACGGGAGAGGGUAGUGGAAGUCCCAGUGUAGAGGUGAAACUCGUAGAUAUUGGGAAGAACACCAGUGGCGAAGGCGACGACCUGGCCCGAAUCUGACGCUGAGGCGCGAAAGCGUGGGGAGCAAACAGG